UGCUCCUAGCAUUAACUACGUCGUUAAACCCUUCUGAAUUUAUUUCGUCUGUGAAAUGGGGAAAAGAUAGCCACCUUGCAUAACUGGUGAAGAAUUCGUAAACUGACAGCAGAAUCUAGUAAGAGGACUGGCCCGUGGUCGGCUCUUAAUGGUGUCACAGAAUAAAGAAAAAGACUGGGAGAGAGAUGGGAGCUGAUAGACCAGAGGAGACCAAAGACUGAAACUGAAGACUAAACCAUGGAAAUUGGGAACAAGCACUUACUCGCUUAGAGGGUGAAAAAAGUGAAUUUGCCUACAGGGCCAAUUUGGAAGCACCUCUCCCUGGAAGCCAGUCAAUGAAGAGCCAUUGGAGGAUUUUAAAUAAGGAACCGAAAAAUGGAGUCUGAAAAUAGAGGCGCAGAGACCGGUCAACCACAAUGAAGAACAAGCCAUUUUGACCUCCAUCCUGGCUCAUCUCCUCUGUGUUCUCAUAGCAUCAUAUUAUAGAAUGGAUCACAAA
rnacentral:lncRNA from 10 species